AUUAAUUUGGUGGCGAGAUGGCCUGGAUCCACCCACGAUUCCCGCAUCCUCCGGGAGAGUGCGUUAUUACAGGACUUCGAGGAAGGAAGGUGCAACGGGCUGCUCCUCGGGGACAGUGGAUACCCGCUGAAACGGUGGCUGAUGACCCCGCUAAUGGCUCCAACAACUGACCAAGAACGGAGGUACAACACCAUACACUCCGCAACUAGGUCAGUUGUUGAGAGAUGUAUCGGGGUUCUCAAACGCAGGUUUCACUGUCUUCAUGGGGAGAUGCGGAUGCACCCAGAACGGGUGUGCACAGUAAUAGCUGCGUGCACAGUUCUGCACAACAUUUGCAUCGCCAAAAGAAUCCCUCUCCCCAGACACCAUCAGCCACCGGCAGUCCCCGAGGAAGAUGUGCGUCAAGCCACUCGG